rnacentral:lncRNA from 1 species
AUGGCCAUCCAGCCUCUGUUUGAAAGCCUCCAAGGAAGGAGCUUCCACCAGACUCUGAGGCAGAGAGUUCCACUGUUGAACAACUCGUAUGGUCAGGGAGAAAUCACCAAAGAAGAAUUCAAACGUAUAGCCAACACCUGUAGGGAAAAGGUUCGCAAGGCUAAAGCGCAAAAUGAGCUCAGGCUUGCCAGGGACAUAAAAAACAACAAAAAAGGCUUUUUUGCUUACGUUGCUAGAAAAAGGAAGAAAAAGGAGGCGAUAGGGCCAUUGCAAGGAGAAGAUGGGGUGAUGGCGACAGGGGACAGGGAAAAGGCAGAACUACUUAAUGCCUUCUUUGCCUCGGUCUUCUCACAAAAAGAAAGCCAUCUUCAACCUCAGCAACACGGAAUGGACGAAGGAUUGGGGGAAAUCCAACCCCAAAUAGGGAAACAAGUUGUCCAGGAACACUUGGCCUCUCUAAAUGAAUUCAAGUCCCCAGGGCCAGAUCAGCUACAUCCAAGAGUAUUGAAGGAACUAGCGGAAGUUAUUUCAGAACCACUGGCAAUUAUCUUCGAGAGUUCUUGGAGAACGGGAGAGGUCCCAGCAGAUUGGAGGAGGGCGAAUGUGGUCCCUGUCUUCAAGAAGGGAAAAAAGAACGACCCAAACAAUUACCGUCCGGUCAGCCUCACAUCAAUACCAGGCAAAAUUCUGGAAAAGAUCAUUAAGGAAGUGGUCUGCGAACACUUAGAAACAAAUGCGGUCAUUGCUAAUAGUCAACACGGAUUUACCAAAAACAAGUCAUGCCAGACUAAUCUGAUCUCUUUUUUCGAUAGAGUUACGAGUUGGGUCGAUACAGGGAAUGCCGUGGAUGUAGCGUACCUGGAUUUCAGUAAGGCCUUCGACAAAGUCCCCCACGACCUUCUGGCAAGGAAACUAGUAAAAUGUGGGCUAGACAAAACUACGGUUAGGUGGAUCUGUAAUUGGCUAAGCGAACGAACCCAAAGGGUGAUUCUCACCAAUGCGUCGUCUUCAUCAUGGAAAGAAGUGACAAGUGGAGUGCCACAAGCUCCGUCCUGGGCCCGGUUCUGUUCACAUCUUUAUUAA